UACAGAGGUCUCGAGCGUAGGCGGAAUCAGCUGGGCUUAAAGCGUGUGUAGGUGGAUCGAUUAAGUACCUUAGUCGGAAACUCCCGACGGCCUUAACCGUGGAACUGCUUGGUAUACUGGCGGUCUUGAGCCAGCUAGGGGCUACCGGAACAAUGGUGGAGACGGUGAAAUGCGUAGAUAUCAUUUGGAACGCCAAUGGUGAAAACAGGUAGCUGGGGCUGUGCUGACACUGAGACACGAAAGCCAGGGGAGGCAAACGGG
rnacentral:rRNA from 1 species